rnacentral:tRNA from 1 species
AAGGAUUUAAGUUAACUAAACUAUCUGCCUUCAAAGCUGAAAAUACAAAUUAUUGUAAGCCUUG